GAUGAACGCUGGCGGCGUGCUUAACACAUGCAAGUCGAACGGAAAGGCUCCUGCUUGCAGGGGUACUCGAGUGGCGAACGGGUGAGUAACACGUGGGUGAUCUGCCCUGCACUUCGGGAUAAGCCUGGGAAACUGGGUCUAAUACCGGAUAGGACGAUGGUUUGGAUGCCAUUGUGGAAAGUUUUUCGGUGUGGGAUGAGCUCGCGGCCUAUCAGCUUGUUGGUGGGGUAAUGGCCUACCAAGGCGUCGACGGGUAGCCGGCCUGAGAGGGUGUACGGCCACAUUGGGACUGAGAUACGGCCCAGACUCCUACGGGAGGCAGCAGUGGGGAAUAUUGCACAAUGGGCGCAAGCCUGAUGCAGCGACGCCGCGUGGGGGAUGACGGCCUUCGGGUUGUAAACUCCUUUCGCUAGGGACGAAGCGCAAGUGACGGUACCUGGAGAAAAAGCACCGGCUAACUACGUG
rnacentral:rRNA from 1 species